rnacentral:ncRNA from 2 species
AGCUCAUCGAGAGGGACUGAGGGAACGGCCCAGUGAAGUCCCGGCAACCGCCACGAGCCCCCUGACCCGGCCCCGCCGGAUCAGUCGUGGAAACGGUGCUAAUUCCGGCCCGCGGCGAGAUACGCCGUUGGGGAAGAUGAGAA